UACGAAGGGGGCUAGCGUUGUUCGGAAUCACUGGGCGUAAAGGGCGCGUAGGCGGCCAUAUAAGUCGGGGGUGAAAGCCUGUGGCUCAACCACAGAAUUGCCUUCGAUACUGUAUGGCUCGAGACCGGAAGAGGUAAGUGGAACUGCGAGUGUAGAGGUGAAAUUCGUAGAUAUCCGGAGGAACACCGGUGGCGAAGGCGGCUUCCUGGACCGACACUGACGCUGAGGCGCGAAAGCUAGGGGAGCAAACGGG
rnacentral:rRNA from 1 species